GACGAACGCUGACGGUGUGCUUUAGACAUGCAAGUCGAACGAGAAAGCCCUUCGGGGUUAGUAAAGUGGCGAACGGGUGAGUAACACGUGGGCAAUCUGCCCCUCGCAGGGGGACAACCGGAGGAAACCCCGGCUAAUACCCCGUAAGUUCAAAGGGAGGCAUCUCCCCUUGAAGAAAGGUAGCUUCGGCCAUCCGGCGAGGGAUGAGCCCGCGGUGCAUUAGCUAGUUGGGUGGGGUAACGGCCCACCAAGGCGACGAUGCAUAGCUGGUCUGAGAGGAUGAUCAGCCACACUGGGACUGAGACACGGCCCAGACUCCUACGGGAGGCAGCAGUCGGGAAUCUUGCGCAAUGGGCGAAAGCCUGACGCAGCAACACCGUGUGUGUGAGGAA
rnacentral:rRNA from 1 species